rnacentral:rRNA from 1 species
GACGAACGCUGGCGGCGUGCUUAACACAUGCAAGUCGAACGGAAAGGCCCUGCUUUUGUGGGGUGCUCGCGUGGCGAACGGGUGUGUAACCCGUGAGUCACCUGCCCUUGACUUUGGGAUAUCUUCAGGAAACUGGGGAUACUACAGGAUAGGUGCUCGUGCUGCAUGGUGGGGGUUGGAAAGUUUCGGCGGUUGGGGAUAGACGGGCGGCUUAUCAGCUUGUUGGUGGGGUAGUGACUUACCAAGGCUUUGACGGGUAGUCGGCCUGAGAGGGUGACCAGGCACAAGAGGACUGAGAUACGGCGCAGACGGGUACAGGAGGCAGCAGGGGGAAGUAUGACACAGUGGGCGGAAGCCUGAGGCAGAGACGCCGCGUGCGGAAUGACGUCCUUCGGGUGGUAAACCGCAUUAGCCUGAGACGAAGCGUGAGUGACGGUAAUGGGUAAAGAAGCACCGGCUAACUACGUG